GCACUCCGCCUGGGGACUACGGUCGCAAGACUAAAACUCAAAGGAAUUGACGGGGACCCGCACAAGCGGUGGAGCAUGUGGUUUAAUUCKAUGCAACGCGAAGAACCUUACCACUUCUUGACAUGGAGAUUAGAUCCUUCUUAACAGAAGGGCGCASUUCGGCUGGAUCUCGCACAGGUGCUGCAUGGCUGUCGUCAGCUCGUGUCGUGAGAUGUUGGGUUAAGUCCCGCAACGAGCGUAACCCUCAUCCUUAGUUGCCAGCGGGUUAAGCCGGGCACUUUAAGGAGACUGCCAGUGGUAAACUGGAGGA
rnacentral:rRNA from 1 species